GACCUGCCUACCCAUCAGUGUUAGCUGAUAAUGUUGGCCUGAAUGGUAUAGCUGGUAAGGCUGAAGGUUAUGGCUGUAACCAACAACAUUGCAUUCACAAUAAAGAGAGAUUCUAAACACCUGCAUUAAUGUCAGCACUUCCUCCAGUGUUUAAUUCACUCUGUCCUGUGAUUAUACACAAUAUUGUUUUACUCAAGUUUGUAGAAAAUAUCUUCAUCCAUCCUAAUCUGGGUAACUGAAGUAUCUGAACUGCAAUAGCUUGAACACUGAGAAAUCAGCUGUUGCCUAUGCAGUUGUUUUAUACUAGUACUAAGGUAAAGCAAGACUGUAAUUUGCUCCUAGAAUACUACUAAUGGAAAUGGUAAACUGAGUGUUUUGCAUACAUAAACUAGAAGCAGCAGCAUCUUCAUGAAAUCACAGAGGUCGAUGUUUGCUCUUUCAGGUCAUGGAGCUGGAGGCCUUGGAGGUCCAGGGCUGGUAGUGAACCCUGGCCUGGAUAUUGAUGCCAAGACUAGAAAGUAUGGGGCUGGUGGAGUUCUUGGAGCUGCCGGAUCCUUGCCUUAUGGUGGCCAGCCUGUGGUCUCAGCUGGACUUGGCCCUCAGGGCAAGACUGGUAGUUAUGGUGGAACUACAUACGGAGGAAUACCAACCCUUGGGCCAGACACUGCUCUGGGUGGUACAGGUGGAGCAAUGGAGCCUUUAGCAGGUAAUAUUGUGGAGUUUUAGUAAAUAUAUUUAAAGUCAUUUUUUUUUCUGAUAACAAAAUGUUACUGCCACAGGCGGAGCUGUAGGCCAGAUUCCUUACAGCGCACCAGUCAUUGCAGCUGGGCUUGAGGGUAAGUUGGUAAGAACAAGAGAAACAGAGAACCUCAUGGACUCUGAUUGUGACACAGGUGUAAAUGUGUUUACCUGCAGUUGAUGCCGAUUAUUCUUUUGGUGCUGAGCAACUCAGUCUGGGUGCUGAUGCUACAAAGACAGCCACCAAAUAUGGCACAGGCUAUGCAGCUGCGCUAAGUACUGCUGGUCAGGGGCCCUAUGGUGGACAGAAGGAUGGAGGCAAGCUUAGUGGCAUUUAUGGGAAUGGGUACAAAGGUUGAGUUCCAAGGCCAUGCUGUUAACCUCGUCAGUGUGUUUUUUGGCCCACAUUUUGCCUAUUAUUUCUCACCCUUGUGUAGUUUUGUGCCAUGUUUUUGUUUGCCAUAUUGUUUUAGUUUUAAGUUUGUGCCCAUUUGCGUGGGCAUGUGUGUUUUGUGUGUACGUGUGGUUUUGAUGUUCAUUGUCAUGUUCCUUGAUGUUCCCCCAGUCUGUUCAUUUGUCUUGACCGGUGGAGUGUUUAAUGUCCCUUGUGUCUCUGUAUCGAACUCAAACAUGCUAAGCACUUCAUUGGCUGUUAUUUUAAUUCUUAUGAAACACUAA
ensembl:lncRNA